UGGGGAAUCUUGCACAAUGGGCGCAAGCCUGAUGCAGCAACGCCGCGUGAGUGAAGAAGGCCCUUGGGUUGUAAAGCUCUUUCGGCUAGGAAGAAGGGUCAUUUGGUUAACACCCCUAUGAUCUGACGGUACUAGAAGAAGAAGCACCGGCAAAUUUCGUGCCAGCAGCUGCGGUAAUACGGAAGGUGCAAGCGUUGUUCGGAAUGACUGGGCGUAAAGAGCACGUAGGUGGGUUCGUAUGUCGGAUGUGAAAGCCCCAGGCUUAACCUGGGAACUGCAUUCGAAACUGCGGAUCUUGAAUGUUUGAGAGGUUAGCGGAAUUCCAGGUGUAGGAGUGAAAUCCGUAGAUAUCUGGAGGAACAUCAGAGGCGAAGGCGGCUAACUGGCGAUACAUUGACACUGAGGUGCGAAAGCGUGGGGAGCAAACAGG
rnacentral:rRNA from 1 species